GAUGAAGAACGCAGCGAAAUGUGAUACUUGGUGUGAAUUGCAGAAUCCCGUGAACCAUCGAGUCUUUGAACGCAAGUUGCGCCCGAAGCCGUCAGGCCGAGGGCACGCCUGCCUGGGCGUCACACGCCGUUGCCCCCCCCGCGCCCCGCACCCAACUCUUUGGGAGCGACCGCGGGGCGGGCUGAUGAUGGCCUCCCGUGCGCUCCGCCGCGCGGUUGGCCCAAAUACCGAGUCCCCGGCGACGUGUGCCACGACGAUCGGUGGUUGAGAGACCUCUGUCGCAAGUCGUGCGCGCCCGUCGCGUCACGCGGGCUCGCAUAGCGCCUCGCGCCGCACCCGGUGCGGAGCUUUCAACGCGACCCCAGGUCAGGCGGGGUUACCCGCUGAAUUUAAGCAUAUCAAUAAGCGGAGGA
rnacentral:misc_RNA from 1 species